rnacentral:rRNA from 1 species
GACGAACGCUGGCGGCGUGCUUAACACAUGCAAGUCGAACGGAAAGGCUCCAGCUUGCUGGAGUGCUCGAGUGGCGAACGGGUGAGUAACACGUGGGCAAUCUGCCCUGCACUCUGGGAUAAGCCUGGGAAACUGGGUCUAAUACCGGAUAGGACCUUUCUCCUCAUGGGGUUUGGUGGAAAGUUUUUCGGUGCAGGAUGAGCCCGCGGCCUAUCAGCUUGUUGGUGGGGUAAUGGCCUACCAAGGCGACGACGGGUAGCCGGCCUGAGAGGGUGAACGGGCACCAUGGGCCUGAGAUACGGCCCAGACUCCUACGGGAGGCAGCAGUGGGAAAUAUUGCACAAUGGGCGAAAGCCUGAUGCAGCGACGCCGCGUGAGGGAUGACGGCCUUCGGGUUGUAAACCUCUUUCAGUAGGGACGAAGCGCAAGUGACGGUACCUGCAGAAGAAGCACCGGCUAACUACGUG